rnacentral:rRNA from 1 species
AGAGUUUGAUCAUGGCUCAGGACGAACGCUGGCGGCGUGCUUAACACAUGCAAGUCGAACGGUGACCCAGGGCUUGCCCUGGUGAUCAGUGGCGAACGGGUGAGUAACACGUGGGCAACCUGCCCCUGACUUCGGGAUAACUCCUCGAAAGAGGAGCUAAUACCGGAUACGACCACUUCGGACAUCCGAUGGUGGUGGAAAGUUUUUCGGUCAGGGAUGGGCCCGCGGCCUAUCAGCUAGUUGGUGGGGUAAUGGCCUACCAAGGCGACGACGGGUAGCCGGCCUGAGAGGGCGACCGGCCACACUGGGACUGAGACACGGCCCAGACUCCUACGGGAGGCAGCAGUGGGGAAUAUUGCGCAAUGGGCGAAAGCCUGACGCAGCGACGCCGCGUGAGGGAUGAAGGCCUUCGGGUUGUAAACCUCUUUCAGCAGGGACGAAGCGAAAGUGACGGUACCUGCAGAAGAAGCACCGGCCAACUACGUG